rnacentral:rRNA from 1 species
UUUCCAAUUGUCCGCCAAACAACUACGAGUCAUACUUAAAACUUAAAAGACUUGACGGUACUUCACCACAACCUAGAGGAGCCUGUCUAAUAACCGACAAUCCACGAUUAACCCCACCCUUUCUCGCCCAACAGUCUAUAUACCGCCGUCGCCAGCUUACCUUGUAAAAGAAAUAAAGUGAGCCAAAGAGUACUACACUAAAACGACAGGUCGAGGUGUAACCAAUGAAAGGGACCAAGAUGGGCUACAUUCUCCAGCCGAGAAUACGAAUAGCACUAUGAAACUAGUGCCUGAAGGCGGAUUUAGCAGUAAGAUAAGAAUAAAACACCUAACUGAACACAAC